rnacentral:rRNA from 1 species
GUGGGGAAUAUUGGACAAUGGGCGCAAGCCUGAUCCAGCCAUGCCGCGUGCAGGAAGACGCAUCUAUGGUGUGUAAACUGCUUUUGUACGGGAAGAAACACUCCCUCGUGAGGGAGCUUGACGGUACCGUAAGAAUAAGGAUCGGCUAACUCCGUGCCAGCAGCCGCGGUAAUACGGAGGAUCCAAGCGUUAUCCGGAAUCAUUGGGUUUAAAGGGUCCGUAGGCGGUUUAAUAAGUCAGUGGUGAAAGCCCAUCGCUCAACGAUGGAACGGCCAUUGAUACUGUUAGACUUGAAUUACAAGGAAGUAACUAGAAUAUGUAGUGUAGCGGUGAAAUGCUUAGAUAUUACAUGGAAUACCAAUUGCGAAGGCAGGUUACUACUUGUGGAUUGACGCUGAUGGACGAAAGCGUGGGGAGCGAACAGGAUUAGAUACCCCAGUAGUCC